rnacentral:rRNA from 1 species
AUUGAACGCUGGCGGCAGGCCUAACACAUGCAAGUCGAGCGGAUGCAGGGAGCUUGCUCCUGGAUUCAGCGGCGGACGGGUGAGUAAUGCCUAGGAAUCUGCCUGGUAGUGGGGGAUAACGUCCGGAAACGGGCGCUAAUACCGCAUACGUCCUGAGGGAGAAAGUGGGGGAUCUUCGGACCUCACGCUAUCAGAUGAGCCUAGGUCGGAUUAGCUAGUUGGUGGGGUAAAGGCCUACCAAGGCGACGAUCCGUAACUGGUCUGAGAGGAUGAUCAGUCACACUGGAACUGAGACACGGUCCAGACUCCUACGGGAGGCAGCAGUGGGGAAUAUUGGACAAUGGGCGAAAGCCUGAUCCAGCCAUGCCGCGUGUGUGAAGAAGGUCUUCGGAUUGUAAAGCACUUUAAGUUGGGAGGAAGAGCAGUAAGUUAAUACCUUGCUGUUUUGACGGUACCAACAGAAUAAGCACCGGCUAACUUCGUG